rnacentral:rRNA from 1 species
CGGCAGCGGGUUGUAGCAAUACAAUGCCGGCGAGUGGCGCACGGGUGCGUAACACGUAUGCAACCUACCCUAUACUGGGGCAUAACCUUUAGAAAUGAGGGCUAAUACUCCAUGUAAUUAUGAGAAGGCAUCUUUUUAUAAUUAAAGAUUUAUCGGUAUAGGAUGGGCAUGCGUCCCAUUAGUUAGUUGGUAAGGUAACGGCUUACCAAGACUGCGAUGGGUAGGGGUCCUGAGAGGGUUCACCCCCACACUGGUACUGAGACACGGACCAGACUCCUACGGGAGGCAGCAGUAAGGAAUAUUGGGCAAUGGCCGUAAGGCUGACCCAGCCAUGCCGCGUGCAGGAAGACGGCCUUAUGGGUUGUAAACUGCUUUUUUGUGGGAAUAACCGUAGCUAUGCGUAGCUACCUGCAAGUACCAUAAGAAUAAGCAUCGGCUAACUCCGUGCCAGCAGCCGCGGUAAUACGGAGGAUGCGAGCGUUAUCCGGAAUCAUUGGGUUUAAAGGGUGCGUAGGCUGGUAUUUAAGUCAGUGGUGAAAUUUUCGUGCUUAACAUGAGAGCUGCCAUUGAUACUGGGUACCUAGAGUGUAUUUGAUGUGGGCGGAAUGUGUUGUGUAGCGGUGAAAUGCUUAGAUAUGACACAGAACACCGAUAGCGAAGGCAGCUCACAAAGUUACAACUGACGCUGAUGCACGAAAGCGUGGGGAUCAAACAGGAUUAGAUACCCUGGUAGUCCACGCUGUAAACGAUGAUCACUAGCUGUUGGCGAUAUACAGUCAGUGGCUAAGCUAAAGCGAUAAGUGAUCCACCUGGGGAGUACGUCCGCAAGGAUGAAACUCAAAGGAAUUGACGGGGGCCCGCACAAGCGGAGGAGCAUGUGGUUUAAUUCGAUGAUACGCGAGGAAACUUUACCUGGGCUUGAACGUAUGGUGCAUUGCAGUGAAAGCUGCAUUUCCCUUCGGGACUCC